rnacentral:rRNA from 1 species
CCCUUAGAUGUUCUGGACCGCACGCGCGCUACACUGACUGGUGCAACAAGUGUCGCUCCUUGGCCGAUAGGCCUGGGCAAUCUUUGAACGCCAGUCGUGAUGGGGAUAGAUUCUUGCAAUUUUUGAUCUUCAACGAGGAAUUCCUAGUAAACGCGAGUCAUCAACUCGCAUUGAUUACGUCCCUGCCCUUUGUACACACCGCCCGUCGCACCUACCGAUUGAAUGGUCCGGUGAACCCUCCGGAUCGGCCCGCGCCAACGCAAGUUGAGCAAAGGCCGAGAAGUUGGGUAAACCUUACCAUUUAGAGGAAGGUGAAGUCGUAACA